GGACUACAGGGGUAUCUAAUCCCGUUCGCUCCCCUGGCUUUCGCGUCUCAGCGUCAGGUGGGGUCCAGGCGCCCGCUUUCGCCACGGGCGUUCCUUCCGAUCUCAACGCAUUUCACCGCUCCACCGGAAGUUCCGGCGCCCCCUACCCCCCUCCAGACCGGUCGUAUCCGUGCCCCUUCCCCGGUUGAGCCGGGGGAUUUCAGCACCAGACGUGCCGGUCCGCCUACACGCGCUUUAAGCCCAGUGAUUCCGAAUAACGUUCGCACGGUUCGUCUUACCGCGGCUGCUGGCAC
rnacentral:rRNA from 1 species